rnacentral:rRNA from 1 species
GAGUUUGAUCAUGGCUCAGAUUGAACGCUGGCGGCACGCUUAACACAGCAAGUCGAACGGCAGCGGGGAUAGAGCUUGCUCUAUCUGCCGGCGAGUGGCGGACGGGUGAGUAAUACGUAGGGACCUGCCCUUAUGAGGGGGAUAACCCGGGGAAACCCGGGCUAAUACCGCAUGAGGCCUGAGGGUGAAAGGUGGCUUAGGCUGCCGCAUGAGGAUGGACCUACGUCGGAUUAGCUGGUUGGUAGGGUAAAGGCCUACCAAGGCGACGAUCCGUAGCCGGUCUGAGAGGACGACCGGCCACACCGGGACUGAGACACGGCCCGGACUCCUACGGGAGGCAGCAGUGGGGAAUCUUGGACAAUGGGGGCAACCCUGAUCCAGCGAUGCCGCGUGUGUGAAGAAGGCCUGCGGGUUGUAAAGCACUUUAGCUGGGGAAGAAAGCCUUGAGGUGAACAGCCUUGAGGGGUGACAUUACCCAGAGAAUAAGCACCGGCUAACUCUGUGCCAGCAGCCGCGGUAAUAC